CCGUAGCCCAAGAGAUCGGGAUAACACCUGGAAACAGAUGCUAAUACCGGAUAACAACAGAUGAUGCCUAUCAACUGUUUAAAAGAUGGUUCUGCUAUCACUCUUGGAUGGACCUGCGGUGCAUUAGCUAGUUGGUAGGGUAACGGCCUACCAAGGCGAUGAUGCAUAGCCGAGUUGAGAGGCUGAUCGGCCACAUUGGGACUGAGACACGGCCCAAACUCCUACGGGAGGCAGCAGGC
rnacentral:rRNA from 1 species